CCGUACCACCCUGAAUGUGCCCGAUCUCAUCUGAUCUUGGAAGCUAAGCCGGGUCGGGCCUAGUUAGUACAUAUACCACAGGGUACUGUGAGGAUUAAGCAACACAACGGA
rnacentral:rRNA from 1 species